AGGCAAUAUCCUCAUUGAGAUGAGAUCUCAAGUCCAUUUGUGAAUUUGAGUAGUUAUUAUAGAAUAGAUAGAAGAAACCUUAAAGAUGAUCUUCUCCAACUCUUACCUGAAGCAUAAACUACUGGAUUAUCUCUGACAAGUCAUUAUUCAACUUCUACUUGAAUACCUCCAGUGACAUAGAACUCAUUACCUCAUGAAGCAAGCACAUACCAUUUCUGAAGAGCUCUCAUUAAGUCACACAUACCAAAGAUCUGGAUGUGCUGAACACCAAAGGCCUUGGAACUUCCAAAUGGUUCAACAUCAGAAAUAGAUAUGGUUUAUUGGAUCAUAAUCUCCUUGAGCUCGAGCAUCUCAGAGAUGGUGUGAGCCACUGGUGCUGCCGUCAGCUGCCACGUGCCAGGUCCUGAUGGCUGGAUGGAUGGACGACAUGCUUGUGCUCCACUUGGCGUUUUUGAGCCACAAGCUACAAGCUGCAGAGCAAUCGCAGCCUCUUUCCUUUGAGAGGUUUUGGCUCUGUUAGAGCACGGCCUAGCCAAGGAGGAAACAGGAGAAGGACUUGGCAAAUGAGGAUUUGUAUGUUUAAAAAAAUCUACUUUGAAAAGUAUAAAUAUAAAUAUGU
rnacentral:lncRNA from 1 species